GAAUAUUUGACAAUGGGGGGAACCCUGAUCCAGCCAUGCCGCGUGUGUGAAGAAGGCCUUUUGGUUGUAAAGCACUUUAAGCGAGGAGGUGGCUACUCUAGUUAAUACCUAGAGAUAGUGGACGUUUCCCGCAGAGUAAGCCCCGGCUAACUCAGUGCCAUCUGCCGCGGUAAUACAGAGGGUGCAAGCGUUCAUCGGAUUUACUGGGCGUAAAGCGCGCGUAGGUGGCCAAUUAAGUCAAAUGUGAAAUCCCCGAGCUUAACUUGGGAAUUGCAUUCGAUACUGGUUGGCUAGAGUAUGGGAGAGGAUGGUAGAAUUCCAGGUGUAGCGGUGAAAUGCGUAGAGAUCUGGAGGAAUACCGAUGGCGAAGGCAGCCAUCUGGCCUAAUACUGACACUGAGGUGCGAAAGCAUGGGGAGCAAACA
rnacentral:rRNA from 1 species